AGAGUUUGAUCCUGGCUCAGGAUGAACGCUAGCGGCAGGCCUAAUACAUGCAAGUCGAACGGGUGUAGCAAUACACUAGUGGCGCACGGGUGCGUAACGCGUAACCAACCUGCCCUGAACUGGGGGAUAGCCCGCCGAAAGGCGGAUUAAUACCGCAUAUACCAGCAGCCUGGCAUCAGGCAAUUGGGAAAGAUUUAUUGGUUCAGGAUGGGGUUGCGUGACAUUAGCUAGUUGGCGGGGUAACGGCCCACCAAGGCGACGAUGUCUAGGGGACCUGAGAGGGUGAUCCCCCACACUGGCACUGAGAUACGGGCCAGACUCCUACGGGAGGCAGCAGUAGGGAAUAUUGGGCAAUGGGCGAGAGCCUGACCCAGCCAUGCCGCGUGCCGGAUGAAGGCCUUCUGGGUUGUAAACGGCUUUUCUCAGGGAAGAAAAAGGUGAUGCGUCACAAACUGACGGUACCUGAGGAAUAAGCACCGGCUAACUCCGUG
rnacentral:rRNA from 1 species